rnacentral:rRNA from 1 species
UAAGGCUGAGACUUGAUGCAUACCCGUUGUGGGGAAUUCAGUGAUCCUAUGCUGCCGAGAAAAGCCUCUAGUGAGUUCAUACACGGCCCGUACCCCAAACCGACACAGGUGAUCAGGUAGAGAAUACCAAGGCGAUCGAGAGAACUGUGGUUAAGGAACUCGGCAAAAUGCCCCCGUAACUUCGGGAGAAGGGGGACCAUGCCCGGUGAACAUCUUCACGGUGGGAGCUGGGUGUGGUCGCAGAGACCAGAGAGAAGCGACUGUUUACUAAAAACACAGGUCCGUGCGAAGACGUAAGUCGAUGUAUACGGACUGACGCCUGCCCGGUGCUGGAAGGUUAAGAGGACCGGUUAGCCGUAAGGCGAAGCUGAGAAUUUAAGCCCCAGUAAACGGCGGUGGUAACUAUAACCAUCCUAAGGUAGCGAAAUUCCUUGUCGGGUAAGUUCCGACCUGCACGAAUGGCGUAACGACUUCUCUGCUGUCUCGACCACAGACUCGGCGAAAUUGCACUACGAGUAAAGAUGCUCGUUACGCGCGGCAGGACGAAAAGACCCCGGGACCUUUACUAUAGCUUGGUAUUGGCGUUCGAUUCGGUUUGUGUAGGAUAGGUGGGAGACUGUGAAGCAUGCACGCCAGUGUGUGUGGAGUCGUUGUUGAAAUACCACUCUGAUCGUAUUGGACGUCUAACCUCGGCCCAUGAUCUGGGUUAGGGACAGUGCCUGGUGGGUAGUUUAACUGGGGCGGUUGCCUCCUAAAGAGUAACGGAGGCGCCCAAAGGUUCCCUCAGCCUGGAUGGCAAUCAGGUGUUGAGUGCAAGUGCACAAGGGAGCUUGACUGUGAGACUGACACGUCGAGCAGGGACGAAAGUCGGGACUAGUGAUCCGGCACCGGCAAGUGGAAGCGGUGUCGCUCAACGGAUAAAAGGUACCCCGGGGAUAACAGGCUGAUCUUCCCCAAGAGUCCAUAUCGACGGGAUGGUUUGGCACCUCGAUGUCGGCUCGUCGCAUCCUGGGGCUGGAGUAGGUCCCAAGGGUUGGGCUGUUCGCCCAUUAAAGCGGCACGCGAGCUGGGUUUAGAACGUCGUGAGACAGUUCGGUCUCUAUCCGCCGCGCGCGUAAGAAACUUGAGGAAGGCUGUCCCUAGUACGAGAGGACCGGGACGGACGAACCUCUGGUGUGCCAGUUGUUCCACCAGGAGCAUGGCUGGUUAGCUACGUUCGGAAGGGAUAACCGCUGAAAGCAUCUAAGCGGGAAGCCUGUUCCAAGAUGAGGUUUCUCACCACCUUGCGUGGUUAAGGCCCCCUACAGACCAUGGGGUUGAUAGGCCGGAACUGGAAGCGCAGCAAUGCGUGGAGGUGACCGGUACUAAUAGGCCGAGGGCUUGC